rnacentral:rRNA from 1 species
GAGCCUGAGAAACGGCUACCACAUCCAAGGAUGGCAGCAGGCGCGCAAAUUACCCAAUCCCGACACGGGGAGGUAGUGACAAUAAAUAACAAUACGGGGUUCUUUAGGAUCUCGUAAUUGGAAUGAGUACAAUUUAAAUCUCUUAACGAGGAACAAUUGGAGGGCAAGUCUGGUGCCAGCAGCCGCGGUAAUUCCAGCUCCAAUAGCGUAUAUUAAAGUUGUUGCAGUUAAAAAGCUCGUAGUUGAAUUUCGGGGUCAGUAGGUUGGUCGUGCCACCGGUACGUACUGGUCUCACUGAUUCCUCCUUCCUGAAGAACCGUAAUGCCAUUAAUUUGGUGUUGCGGGGAAACAGGACUGUUACUUUGAAAAAUUAGAGUGUUUAAAGCAAGCUAACGCUUGAAUACAUUAGCAUGGAAUAAUGAAAUAGGACGAUCGAUCCUAUUUUGUUGGUUUCUAGGAUUGACGUAAUGAUUAAUAGGGAUAGUUGGGGGCAUUAGUAUUCAAUUGUCAGAGGUGAAAUUCUUGGAUUUAUUGAAGACUAACUACUGCGAAAGCAUUUGCCAAGGAUGUUUUCAUUAAUCAAGAACGAAAGUUAGGGGAUCGGAGACGAUCAGAUACCGUCGUAGUCUUAACCAUAAACUAUGCCGACUAGGGAUCGGAUGAUGUUAAUUUUAUAAUGACUCAUUCGGCGCCUUACGGGAAACCAAAGUGUUUGGGUUC